rnacentral:rRNA from 1 species
UACGAAGGGGGCUAGCGUUGCUCGGAAUUACUGGGCGUAAAGCGCACGUAGGCGGCAUAUUAAGUCAUCUGUGAAAUCUCCGAGCUUAACUCGGAACUGUCAGCUGAUACUGAUGCGCUAGAGUGCGGAAGGGGCAAUCGGAAUUCUUGGUGUAGCGGUGAAAUGCGUAGAUAUCGCUUGGAACGCCAAAGGUGAAGACAGGUUGCUGGAGAUAUGCCGACACUGAGACGCGAAAGCCAGGGGAGCAAACGGG